UUUUUUUUUUCUCUGAAAUUUGUUACCCAACACGCCGAACACGCUGCAAUUUGCUUGAUCGUACCACAUUAAAACUUUACGAGCUGAGUGCGUGACACUGUUUUUCCGAGGUUCCUGGAGCUUUUAGAGAAAAUGAUCCGUUACCUUGUGAGAGCCUCUGGCUGCCCGCCAGGAAUCGUCGCCUGUAAUGCAAGAGGGCUUGCUAGCAUUGCGAGACAGCCGUCUGCUUCACCAACAUCGGCACGAGCUGUCGUUGCUGACGUUGCAAACGAGCUUAUGGAGCGCCGUAUAAGCGUGCGCACAUGUGGCCCCCUGUACCGCCAGUGGAAGCAGACCAAGUCCUGGUACCGCAGGGCGCCCGAGGACGGCAUUGAGGUUGACGUCCCUUUCGUCUUCACCAGACGGGACGAUGGUGGCGGCGCCGAAACCAGACGCCCGCUCGCCGUUCUUCUCCACGGCGCUCCGGGCAGCUAUCGAGACUUCUCUGAAAACCUGAUCCCGAGGCUUUGUGCAGAGGGUGUGGACGUGUUAGCCCCAUCCUUUCCAGACCUCAGAUUCAGCAUCCAGAACGAGUUCUUCUGGCACAGCAUUGAAGAGCGCACGGCCCUCCUCAGAGACUUUCUCAGGCAGCUUGGCAUCACCAGGAUUGAUGCCCUGGUAGCACACAGCGCCGCCACUUUCACGAGCUUGCGCAUCCUGUUGGAGCGACAAGAACCGGUGCCCACGGUCAAGUCCCUUGUUCUUCUGGCACCCAACUCUCAUAUCACUCCCAGUGUGCUGAAGCCCAGGUGGCUGAAGAACUGGAUGGCAGAGUCUUACCGCAAUGAAAUUCUGCGGCCCUUCGUCAAGGCCAUCAUCCUUUCUUCGUGUUACUUGGGACUCAGUCCGGUCAAGCCGGAUGUGGACAACGCCAUGCUCUCCCUCAUCACCUACUGCAAGUCUGGCUAUCGUGAGGGAGAUAAGCUGCUGGAAGCGGUGGCUCACAUGAAACUGCCCACCCUAGUUGCCAUCAGCAGAAAUGACCGGCUUCUUUCCUACUCGCUUUUCCUGGAGGUUUGCGCCGUGCUCGGCGCUUCGGAGGGGGACAUGUGGCAUUUUGACGGCGAAGGACGAAUGCUGCGCUCAGGUGCUGAAUUUCGAGAAGGGUUCCCAUUACCCGUUUGUGAAGCACCCAGAUGUCUGUGCUGACGAGAUCCUGCAGCUGCUCCAGAGGAAGCCUUCCUCAUCCUAGUCCUGCCUCCCUCUGUGGAAAAAAGGAGGGGGGGGGGGGG